rnacentral:rRNA from 1 species
GAAAGGAGAAUCCGGUGGCGGCUGGGCAUGCGGCGCAUUAGCUUGACGGCGGGGUAACGGCCCACCGUGGCGACGAUGCGUAGGGGUUCUGAGAGGAAGGCCCCCCACACUGGAACUGAGACACGGUCCAGACUCCUACGGGAGGCAGCAGUGAGGAAUAUUGGUCAAUGGGCGGAAGCCUGAACCAGCCAAGUCGCGUGAGGGAAUAAGGCCCUACGGGUCGUAAACCUCUUUUGCCGGGGAGCAAGGGCCGGGACGCGUCCCGGCCCGGAGAGUACCCGGAGAAAAAGCAUCGGCUAACUCCGUGCCAGCAGCCGCGGUAAUACGGAGGAUGCGAGCGUUAUCCGGAUUUAUUGGGUUUAAAGGGUGCGUAGGCGGGCUUUUAAGUCAGCGGUAAAAAUUCGGGGCUCAACCCCGUCCGGCCGUUGAAACUGGGGGCCUUGAGUGGGCGAGAAGAAGGCGGAAUGCGUGGUGUAGCGGUGAAAUGCAUAGAUAUCACGCAGAACCCCGAUUGCGAAGGCAGCCUUCCGGCGCCCUACUGACGCUGAGGCACGAAAGUGCGGGGAUCGAACAGGAUUAGAUACCCUGGUAGUCCGCACAG